ensembl:misc_RNA Metazoa_SRP Metazoan signal recognition particle RNA
GUUUGGCAUGGUGGCGCAUACCUCUAGUCCCAACUACUUAGGAGCCUGAGGCGGGAGGAUUGCUUGAAGACGUCUAGAAUUUCUGGACUGAAGUGUGCCAUUGCCGAUUGGGUGUUCACAUUAAGUUCAGUAUCAGUAUGGUGACCCCACAGGAAUGGGAGACCACCAGGUUGCCUAAGGAGGGGUGAACUGGCCCAGGUCAGAAAAGGAGCAGGUCAAAACUCCUGUGCUGAUCAGUAGUGGGAUUGCUCCUGUGAAUAGCCACUACCUUCCAGCCUAGGCAACAGUGAGACCUUGCCUCU